rnacentral:lncRNA from 1 species
AAUGUACCAAUGGUUGAGCACCCUUCGAGCGAGUGAUGACUCCAGAAUAAGAAAGAAAAGAGAAUAAGACAGAGAUCAUAAAGAGAAGGAAUUUUUCAUUCAUCAGCAUGCCUUACACAAUAUUCCUUUUUGGGAUAUAUAGCCCGUGACUCCUCUAGAGCAUUAAUCUAAGGAUAAAAACAAACAUGAGCUGGCAGUUGUAAAAUAUCUAAAACAAAAUUUAAAUAAUAGCUAAGAAGAAUUAUCCAUCCAUCCUUGCUGUCAUGGUUCACGUGAGGUAGUCUUUCAUCCAGUCUGGUUGUUUCUUGGUUCUCUCAGGUCUAGAAUUGAGUUGUUGAUUUGCUUCUGUAAAAUCAUUACUAGGCUCCUUGUCCACGGGCUUGGCUCCUUCUUCCUCUCUUGGCAAAAUGGUCAGUGGAUCUAAUUUGAUUGGCAAGCUCGUAUCAUUCCCCCUCUCUUGGAAAGUGCAAAGCAAGAUAUUGUUGACAAAAAGCUCCAAAAUUUUCCCAGGUUACGUUUUAAGGAGAGCUACUUGUCCACUGCACAAAGACUUGUGGGACCAAUUUUCCUUUGCUGUAACACUGUGCGAGUAGCAUAAAUAACUGUUGGUAAAGACAAGGGGUGAUUGUCGAUGUUGUAUUUUGGUAGUGGAGAAAUUUUGAGAAGAGUGGAGCCAUGAAAUGGUUUAAGUAAGGAAACAUGAAAAACAUGAUGAAUUUUCGAUGCCGGAGGUAACUCAAGCUUAUAAGCAAUAGGACCUAUGCGAGCGAUUACUGUAAAAGGUCCAUAGUAGCGUUUGGCCAAUUUAUGACAUGAAUGUGAAGCUACUGUGUACUGGCAGUACGAUUGAAGCUUGACCAGCACCUUAUCUCCAACAGAAAACUGAACUUCUCGGCGAUGAGUAUUAACUUUUUGGGUCAUUCGAUGUUGAGCUUGACGCAAGUUAUCUUUCAAAGAUUUCAACAGUUUAUCACGCUCGAGAAGGAUUUCAUCCAAAGCUUGGAUUGAAGUAGAGCUUUUCACAUAAGGAGGAAUUGUGGGCGGAAGUCUACCAAACAAUGCCUGAUAUGGAGUCAUGUUUAAACCGCUAUGGUAGCUGGAAUUGUAACAGAAUUCUGGCCAACUAAGAAGUGAAACCUAAGUCUUCAGUUUGUCUUGUGUGAAGGCACGAAGAUAUUGCUCAAGACUGCGAUUGACAACCUCCAUCUGGCCAUCUGUUUGCGGAUGAUAGGCCGUGCUGUGGUGUAGAGAGGUGCCACUAAGAGUCAACAACCGAUCCCAAAACUGACUCAAGAACACAGGAUCGCGAUCCGAAAUAAUAAAGCUAGGGAAGCCAUGAAUUUUAACCACAAUGUCAAUAAAUAACUCUGUAAUUUUAUGGGCCGUGAAGUUACCUGGUAAUAGACCGAAAUGGGUCGAUUUCGUCAGCCUAUCUACCACAACCAAAAUAGCAGAAUAACCGUGAGACAAAGGCAGUCCUGUGAUGAAAUCCAUAGUGAUUUUGUCCCAAACCAAACUUGGAAUAGGUAAUGGUUAAAGAAGACCAGCAUAGGCUUUAGUUGAAUACUUUGUUUGUUGACAUAUUAAGCAUUCUAUGACAAAUUUUUCAAUAUCACUCCGCAUGUGAAACCAAAAGAAAUUGGCUGACAAUCUAAUGUAAGUCUUGUUGAUGCCAACGUGCCCUGCCAAUGGGGUUGAAUGAAACUCCUUUAAUAAGGCUGCUUUCGAAGAAGAUUCAACACUAAUUUAAUAUUUUCCUUUGUAGAGAAGUAUUCCAUUAUGAAUGGAAUAGUCAGCCGUGAACUGCCCUGAAGAAACUUGGUGAUGAAGCUUGAGAAGGUCAUGACAAAUCGAAUUUUCCCGCAAUAAUUCCUUAAGGAGAUUGAAGGAAGGGCUACUAUGAAGAAAUAAACAAAAAGAGCUCGCAUACUUGUUUUCAAUUGGCUCUAUUUCUUUGGAGGCUGCAUGGACUCGGGAUAAGGCAUUAGUCGUUCGGUUUGUAGGCCCGGUUUAUACUCAAUCCGAAAUUGAAAACCAAGUAACUUCCGCAGAUAAACUUGCUGAUCAGGAGUCUGGAUCACUUGUUGUAGUAGUUCCUUGAUGUUUCGAUGGUCUGUGCGUAUUACAAAGAACCUGCCCAAGAGGUAUUGCCGCCAUUUGGAGACUGCUUCUACAAUCGCAUGCAAUUCUUUUAAGUAAGUGGAUGAAGCUCUUAGUUUUGGCCCAAUUGUUUUUUGCUGAAAUAAGCCACUGGAUAGCCCUAUUGCAUAAGGACUACUCCAAUUCCUAAGUUACUGGCAUCUGAUUCAAUCACGAACUCAGAAUCAAAAUUGGGUAAUUUGAGCACCGGAGCUUGAACCAUUGCUUGCUUAAGGGAUUCAAAUGUUGUUGUGGCUUCAGGAUUCCGUUGAAAUGCAUCUUUACAUAACAAGUCGGUUAAAGGAGCGGCCAAGGAAACGUAGCCAUGAAUGAACCGUCGGUAGUAGCCCGUAAGGCCAAGGAAAUCUCUCAACUGCUUGGUAGUUUGCGGCAGUGGCCACUCGAGCAUGGCGGUCACCUUUUGGGGAUCAGCUUGCACUCCCAUAAUAGAAAUAAUGUGACCAAGAUAUUUAAUGCUUGAUUUACAAAAGAGACAUUUGCUCAAUUUAACAAAAAAAUUAAUGAAUUUGCAAACAUAAUAGUACCUGUUCAAGGUGAAUUAAAUGGUCAGCCAUGGUAGCGCUAUAAACCAAGAUGUCGUCGAAGAAGACGAUCACAAAUUUUCGAAGAUAGGCAGCAAAUAUCUGAUUCAUAGUGGCUUGGAACGUCGAGGGCGCAUUCGUCAAACCAAACGGCAUAACAAGAAAUUCAUAAUGGCCUUUAUGUGUCUGAAAUGCCGUUUUGUAAAUGUCUCAAGAGCGGACUUGAAUCUGAUGGUAUCCAGCUCUCAAGUCUAAUUUACUGAAGACCGUAGCCUUGCCAAGUUCAUCAAAGAGUUCGUCAACAGUAGGAAUCAAAAAUUUAUCUGGGAUUGUAACUACAUUUAGAGCACGAUAAUCCACACAAAAGUGAUAUGUGCCAUCUUUCUUUUUCACUAAAAGCACUGGGGAAGAGAAAGGACUUUGGCUGGGUCAUAUGAUUCCUUGGUCAGACAUCUUUUUAAUUAGUUUCUUCAUUUCAUUCUUCUAGAAGUGUGGAUAUCGGUAGGGGCAUACAUUGAUAGGGGAAGUGUUUGGAAGGAGGUGUAUUUUGUGGUCUAUAAUUCUGUGUGGUGGAAGGGUUGUGGGUGAUAAAAAUAGAUGAUGAUAUUAGUGGAGAAGGUCACGGAAUUGGGGUGGUAAAUCAGUUGGAAAUUCUAAUUGGGAAGGAGGUGUUUGUCUUGGAGAGGACUCUAUUGGCAAUGAAGAUAAAGGUUGAAGAGCACAAAAACUUGAAAUUGCAAUGCUGUGGACCAGUGCCCUAAAUUGAUUAUAAGUGACUAAAGUUGGAGAUGUAGAUACGUCACCUCGAAGAAUAAUCGAUUUUUCAUUAAAAGAAAAUUCCAUGGAGAGCGCCGAAUAAUCAUGCGAUACCCUCCCUAAUUGUUGCAACCACUGUAUCCCAAGAACAAUGUCAACUCCCUUGAUAGGCAAGACAAAAAGGUCCAAUGGAAACUUUGUGCCUUGUAGUGUUAAGUGAACUUGCUGACAAAAUUGAGUGCACAACAAAAAAUCACCAUUUCCUAUGUAGACGCGAAAUGGUGUUGUUGGCUGAAUGGCGAUGUCGGCGCAUUCCGCCACUGAUGGCUUGAUAAAGUUAUGAGUGCUACCAUUGUCGAUUAAUACUUGGAAGGUGUGGUAUCCAAUCCUGCCCUGUAAACGAAGGGAACGAGGAUUUGCUUGUCCAGCGAGAGCAUUUAGACUUGAGAUAUCGCCAGUGACAGCGGAUUCGUCUUCGUCUGGUGGUUCCCCUUUUUUGGUCGGGUCUAAAUUAUCAUCGUCGGCUCUGAUAAGUAACAAGAACCAGUGACAGUAACGGUGAUUGGGAUUGUACUUCUGGUCACAAGAGUAACAGAGACCUUUCUCGCGUCUCUCGUGUAGCUCAGUAGGGGAUAAUUGACGGAUGGGUAAAUUUGGAGUGGGGAGAAGUGCGGGUAAAAUGUUUGUUUUAUUGUUAAUGUGUGGUGGUGGAGGUUUUGAUGAUGGUGGGUUAGCACUUAUGGUGGAGGAAAUUGGAAGGGAAGGCAUGGGUAAAGGAACGGUUUUGGUUUAUGUGUUUGUAAUGGAAGGAAAUAUUGACUGUGGCUGCCAUUUAGACUAGGAGCAAUUGUGUUGUUUAGUGUCAUUAAAUUUGGCUUUAAGCGCUCGAGCCAUAGCAAAGGUUUCCACGAGUGUUGCUGGCCGAUUAAAGAGAAGUUCUCGCCUGAUGUCCUGCUGCAGGCCGGUUAUGAAAAAAACUGAUGAGAAGUUGCUCGGAAACGCCAUUAACUCUGUUCAUGAGUUAUUCAAAAGCCGAUUGAAAUUCAACGACAGUGGUGGUUUGGGUGAGUUUAGACAGCUCGCCUUGUGGAUCAUCAUAAAGGGUAGUUGCAAAACGAUACUUCAGAUUAGCCAAAAAUUCUUUCCAAGUUGUGAGUAAAUUGUUGGAUUUCAUCCACUGAUACUAGCCUACUGCUCGACCCUCCAUGUGAAAGGAAACGAUACGGAGGCAUUGAUGUUCUGGAGUACCAUGAAACUCGAAAAACUCCUCCACUCGAAAUAAUCAGCCGUAUGGAUCAGAGCCAUCAAAACGUGGAACUUCCAUCUUCAUGGAUUUGACCAUAGGAGAGAUAUCUCGCUCGUCGAAUGGAAUAGAUGAAAGUGGUGGCACUACUAGUGGUUGUUUUAAAGAACCAGCCACAUUUGUUGGAGACUCACGUAUUUUAGAUAGAAAUUCAGCAAAACGGGAAUCUACUGCAGUCAUAAAUUGCUGCAUCAUCUAGUGAAAGGAUAAGGCUUGUUUGUCAAUUUUCUCACUAAGUUCCUUUAAUGUGAUGCUCUCAUUAGAAUCGGCCAUGGAAAGAGUCAAUGAAAGCACCAAUGAUAUACUUUUCUACUAGAAAUCAAGAAAUGUACCAAUGGUUGAACACUCUUCGAGCGAGUGACGGCUCCAUAAUAAGAAAGAAAAGAGAAUAAGACAGAGAUUAGAAAGAGAAGGAAUUUUUUAUUCAUCAGCAUGCCUUACACAAUAUUCUUUUUUGGGAUAUAUAGCCCGUGACUCCUCUAGAGCAUUCUAAGGAUAAAAACAAACAUGAGCUGGCAAUUGUAAAAUAUCUAAAACAGAAUUUAAAUAAUAGCUAAGAAGAAUUAUCCAUCCAUCAUUGCUGCCAUGGUUUACGUGAGAUAGUCUUUCAUCCAGCCUGACUGUUUCUUGGUUCUCUCAGGUCUAGAAUUGAGCUGUUGAUUUGCUUCUGCAAAAUCAUUACUGGGCUCCUUGUCCACGGGCUUGGCUCCUUCUUCCUCUCUUGGCAAAAUGGUCAGUGGAUCCAAUUUGAUUGGCAAGCUCGUAUCAGCGACACCAUCAACAGUUACCCAAACUACCUCCUGGAAUCGCAGAGACAACAACCAGCAAACUGAACACCAACCAACAGUAACAAAUAAUAAUCUAGAAAUACAAAUAUAAAGAUACAAUAAUGGAAAUAAAUGAAAAGUAGAGAUAAAAACAGAAAAAUAAAAUAAAAACGAAAAAAUUUAAAAAUACCAGUACCGG